UACAAAAUAACGUAUACUGCUUGUGUACAGCAUUCGUUUCUAUGUUUUAUUUUUGAAAAUUGGUAUAUACUCUGGGAGGGGAUCAAUUUGCUAGUACAGGUACAGUACAAAUAUAUUGAGGAGAUCUCCCCUCUGUUCCGUAUGGAUCCAUACCUGUGUACUGAACGUUAAAUUAUUUUACCUGUUACAAGUGUUACGUACGGUACAAAGCAGUGACAUAAACAGUACUGUACAAUUUGCCAUAUAAUACUUCAGAAAUAAAAAUGAAUCAUUCGGUUACUCAAGAGUCGAGAUUCUAGCGUUACGUAAUUUGUAAACAUUUCCACCCAAUCUUGCUGAACUCAUGAGGUAAGUCAUGACUUCAGCAAGAUGGAGCAAUUAUGGAGACAUAGGAAGUGGUAAAAUAAUUUCGGAGAUCUUGUUUAAUUAACUUCUUCAGACGACACUUGUAAGAUUCUCGAUCAGUAUGUUUUGCAUCAUUCUAGUUGAUACUAAGCUGUGAAGAAAUAUGGCCAUUGGAGUGCAUGUAGGUCCUUGUUACGCAGGCGAUGUUACCACAUGGACAAACAGGGCAUUUGCCCAGGGCGGAACAUGACGAGGGUGGCAAAUUUUCAUAAAUUUAUACAAAAUUUUCAGACGUUUUAUUUUUUAAAAUAUUUUUUAUAUUACACGGGACGAGUUGAAUAUUGGUUGACUAAGCAAGUUCCUCGUGUGCGCUCAAAUUCACGUCGUUACUAGGCUGUCUCAUGUCGUCACAAAAGGUAUAAUUCUUGUAGAAGUUUUUGUUUUAAAUAAUUAAAUAUCAUUUAAAUUCACAAAUAUCAUUAAUUAUGUCGGGAUACGGAAGAAAACGGUCGUCGUGGCCUCAUUACCGCAAAAUAAAAUUGAAAAAGACGCAUAUAUGAAGAAAUGAUUUGUUCCUCGAGUAAACUCUUAACAUCUUAGUGUAGGUGAAACAGUUACUUCAACUUCACAAGUCGAGAAACUAAUGAGAAAAACGUAACGAUAGAAAUUCCGAAGUGUUGGAAGGGAAACAAAAUACAGAAUCAUAAGAAUUUAUAAGCACUAACGUCACUAGAGAAACUCAAGGAAGUAAAAUUUCAUACGAUCCUGUAGAAUGGCCUGAGAUAAUAAUUCAUUUAGAUUGUUCAUGGUAGAGAAGAGACGGAUGCAAAUUGGUAAUUCUGAUGAAGAAAAUACAUUUUAAUUUUCCAGACAGUAAUUAUUGCUGUUUUAAACCAUCGUAUUACAAAAGACCAAGAGUGAAGUAAUGCAAAGAUCGUGGUAAAUAUAUUCCCCUAUAAACAAUACGGUGUUUUGUUUUUCUUGUAAACUUUUUUAGACUAUUCAAAUUGCGUUGACAACAGUAGAUAACAGUGCUGAAAACAUUCAUUAGAAUUUCAACCGACCGCGAAAACAGUAAGUCAUAUAGAUGUAUAGAACUAGCAGAUGAAUUAGUUGUUUUUAUCUAGUUUAAUUAAGAAACGAUGCACAUCCUUAGAAGUAUUGAGUUAUGUAAAUCAAUAUGAUUUAUUCCCGAGCGUAUUAGUGGCUUUGAGAAUUUUAUUAACAUUACCAGUAAGUGUUGGGAGGCUCUGAAAGAAGCUUCUCCAAAUUAAAAUUAAUUGAAAAUUAAAUUGAACUACGACUUGGUGAUUUGACAACUAUUUCAAUGGAACACGAGUUGGCAAAAAUUUAGAUUUCAAGGAAUUUGUUAAAGAAUUUGCAGACCAGGAAGCUUAUUAAUUAAGUGCAUUUUUAACAUUUCUUAGUUAAACCUUUUCGUUUUCGUGAGUAAAAUAACUAAACUAACGUGAAACUAUUGUAAGUGAAAUUAAAAUAUUUUAAAUAAGAUUAAAAUUUAAAAAUAUUAAAAAAUUUCUUCCUACUUCUAAUAGAUAAGGCAUUAAAAUUUUGUUUUUCGUUUUAUAUAGUGGGGAUAAGGGGCGUCAAAUACAAGUCUUAUUCCGGGCGACAUAAAUUCUAGUGCCGGCUCUGGGAACACCGUAUCUUCGUUUUCUUUUUCUUUUGUGUGUGUGUUCAUUAUGAAGUAAUCCUAAUAGCAAAUGUUUUUUCUUUACUAGUAGUAAGCAUCGUAGUCGAACCAUUUUGAUUUUUAAGCGUAUAUGUUAGAAACGAGUUCAGCAUCGCAACAUAAUUAGAAUUAGCAAGAAUUCUGCUAUAUUGAACACGACUCAGUUAAUCGUUCUUAGCUGAAGAAAGAUCUCAGAUAAUUUUUAUUAACUUUAAUUUAUUAAAAGAUCGCUCUUCUGAUACCAGUACAGGUGACAAUAUAAUUUUAUAUGCUCUCAUGUGACACUUUUCUCUGAAUUAUUUAUUAAUAAUUUUGGAAUUUUGGCUCCUCAUCAUCUUGGACAUGGACAUCUGAACUCCUCUGCCCCUACUUUUCCACGGUCCUAGUGACCGCUAAUGCAUAAGUAGUAUAGAAGUAGAAGAACGACAACAUUUAAACUAGUUUUUAAAAAUAAAUUUUACUUAGAAAAAAUUUUCUAGUGUUUUUCCCCCUCCUUUUUUCUUUUGAAGGUGCUAGGGCUCUUUGGCCCCUCUGGAUGCUCCUCUGUAAAAAUUUAAUUACUGUGUAAUAAAUCAAUAUUUAAUCAUUAUGUUAAUUAGUAAUAAUAUAUAACAAUAGAUUUUGAAGUCCAAACAUACAAUUUAUAAUUCUUUCAAUUGUUAGAAUCAUUUUGGAGUUUAUGAUAUUGUACAUCUUAAAUACAAAUAUGCCUAAAAUAAACAAGAAGAAACUGGAAUAUGUGCAGAGAAUAGUGGGAGAGGUUAAAGAUUCAGACACGAUGUUGCGAGAGAUAUUUCCCAUAUGUUUUCGAGUUUCGGAAUGUUACGUUGGCAUGCCAUAUGGGUCUCACCUGUGUCCCAAGAAAUAUCUUAGAGAAUAUUGCAAAAGAAUGGCAAAGUCUGUUUCACUAAAAAUAUCUAAGAGGCUCCAAACUUCAUUGAAAUAUGAACUAGAAGUUAAGGUUAUAGAAGCUUUAAAUUUAAAAUCGAAGAAUAUAAAAGAUCAAACCAAUCCCUUCUGCAAAAUAUGGAUUCAUCAGAAUAAAGUGAAGACUAGCAAAGUGGUGGUUGCCAGCGUGGAUCCAAAUUGGGAUGAAGAAUUUGUCUUUAAGAAUAUUAUUAAUGAAGACGCGUUGACAAUUGAGAUUUGGAAUGCAAGUGUCACAAUGUUAAGGGAUUGUGAAACGAGACAAAAACGCAUCUAUUCACUGCUUCGAUGUUUUAAAAUUAAAAAGUCAAAUCCCAGAAUAUGUUCGGAUGAUUUGAUCGGCGUGACUACUAUCCAAAUUCAGGAAAUACCGUUUGUAAACGAAGAAGGUGACUUAAACAAUAAUGCAAAAGUACUAAAACUUAAUUUAAAUGGAAUAGAAACUGGUGGGAAAAUAAUUAUCGACAUGAAAAUUCGAUCUGACACGGACAAAGAUAUAGUAAUCUCUAUUGGUGAUCACAUCAAAAUAUGUAAAUUCUUCUUGCAAAAACAUCUAACAAAUAAAGAUAUUGACGUAAACAGUGCAUUGCACCUUCCGGAAUUAUUUCAUCCAGAAGAAUGGACUAUCCUCAAACAACAUGCCAUCCAGUCCAAUCUGUUUCCGUUAAAUCAUUACAUCUGUAUCUGGUUAUGUAUCAGCCGGCUCUUACGAAAAUAUAGAAUACGGUAUAACUAUAUUCUUAUGACGAAUUUUCUUAACAAAAUAAACUCAAUUAGAGAUAGCAUAAUAGAACCUGAUUCUUUUAUGGAUAAGAUAUUUUUGGACGAAAUGAAAUGCAUGGUAAAUAAUUCCAUCGCUAGACUUGAUCAGAUGCAUAUAUUUAUGGGGUUUGAAGAGAAAAUAGAUGUCGAACUACUGCGACCUUUUUUACAAUUUUUAAAAUCUUUAAGUAUAUUCAACUGCUAUAUGACAGAGGAAAUACAGUUCGCACUUCAGCAAAAUGCCGAAAAAUAUAAUUGUUUAUUACUAAGAUCGAUAUGGGCGAAGAAAGACAGCGACGAAGAAUUGAAACAACUGGAACACGUCUUAGAAGUUCUACGACAUAAUCACCAAAAAUUAGACGAAACUUUUGUGAAUGUAUUUGGUAAUAUGACUUACAGCCAACAUGUUUAUAUUAACCUAAAUGUACUGUUGUACAAGACAUGUCACAAACUAAUAGAACGACACGUAAGAAUUUCAUAUAUGAAUAAUGACCAAGACAAACUGAAGAAGAUGCUUCGAAUAUAUUUCAUGUUAAAGCAACUUAUAGAGAAUACCCUACGAAAUAUUGAAAAUGUACAGAACAGACCACGCUUAGAAAUGGAAAAUUUCUGCAAUUGGUUCGGAGAUGAAAUUCUAAAAGCUUGGUUUAAUCAGGUAGCACGGGAGGCUAAAAUUUUGAUUCGAAAUAAUAUCGAAAAAAAUUACGUGAAUAUUCUCAGCCAAUCUGUUAUAUCGGGACUACCAACUAAACACCUAAACAGUAUCAUAUUUGACAAAGUUAUAAGAUUUUGGAAAGAAUUGGAUUGGACCGAUGUAACUGCCAUCGAAAUAAUGAUUAAUGCUAAAUUGCAAGCGUGUGAAAUGAUACAAAACAUAAUUAAUUCUAAACCUGGAAAAGUGAAACAGAACAAAAGUAAAGGAGUUGCAGAUGUACGCGAGAUAUUAUCCAUGAUUGUAGCGAAACUAAGCGAUAAAGAAGACAUUUUGACUCACAAUCAAAUGAAAAAUUUUAAAUAUAAUAGAUUAAAAAGUUACUUUCUCGAAUUGGAUUAUGCUAAAACGAAUUAAUUGGACCGGAUAAAAGUCAAAUUGGAUGUGAAUAAAAACACCACAAAUCCGUCGUCAAAUCUAUAAAAAUUAUAAUAAUAAUAAUAAUAAUAAUAAAGAUUAUUAUUAAAUUUAUUUUAUCAUUUGACUUAAAUUAAUCAGAAUUUCUACAUAUAAGUUAUUAUCAUGUUUUCAUACUCUAUAAAGUAUUUUAUUAAUUUAACUCAUUUCAUUUCAUCGGUAUUUUAAAAAAAUUUGGUGAGAUUUUGCGUAAAUUUUUUCAUCAUGUGAAGCAAUAUUUGAAAUUUUAAAAUUCGAACUUAAUAAAUUUCGAAUUGUAGAUUAAAAAAUAAAUAUUAUAUCUGCUAUGGAUGGAAGUCAAAAUCUAAUUUUAAAUCUUAUUCUAAAUGUAGGAUAAAUGAGAAUUAGAUGAUGAACACGUGUAAUUAUUAUAUAAACUAAAAUGUAAGCAUUACGUAUUGAUAUAUUGUGUUGGUUGAAAGUCAUGUUUGCUAUGUGUAUUGUUUAAACCCAAUUACUGUAAAAAUAAGUGAAAAAAUCGAAUGUUUCUGUUUCUAACUUGUAGAAUGUUUUACAUAUGUUUAUAUUUAAAUGUAUCCUGGAAAAUAUUAAAGAUUAGCGGAUGGUUUUUGUUUCUUGUAUAAUAUUUUAGAAGCUUUAGAAUCUAACAUGUAACAGAGAAUCUCUGGUCAUAAUGAUCAUCUAUAUGCUGUUCAUCAAUUAACCCUCUAUAGAUUAGAUGAGAAAACGCCACUCCUGUAAUAUAUGUGGAAUUCUGUAUUUGAAAUCUGACAAUUUAAAAACUUUAAUGUAGAAAUUUUAAUUAACCUAUAUUUGGGCAGACAUCAGACGAGUUUUGCUU
rnacentral:misc_RNA from 1 species